AUACAGAGGGUGCGAGCGUUAAUCGGAAUUACUGGGCGUAAAGCGCGCGUAGGCGGCUUGGUCAGUCGGAUGAGAAAGCCCCGGGCUCAACCUGGGAAUGGCAUUCGAUACUGCCAGGCUAGAGUAUGGGAGAGGGAAGUGGAAUUUCCGGUGUAGCGGUGAAAUGCGUAGAUAUCGGAAGGAACACCAGUGGCGAAGGCGACUUCCUGGCCCAAUACUGACGCUGAGGUGCGAAAGCGUGGGGAGCGAACAGGAUUAGAUACCCGAGUAGUCC
rnacentral:rRNA from 1 species